UAUAAUGGAAAUAGAUUUUAAU
rnacentral:miRNA from 1 species